GGAUAUAGCUCAGUGGUAAAGUGCAUGCUUAGCAUGCCCUAGGUCCUGGGUUCAAACCCCAGUACAUCCA
rnacentral:tRNA from 1 species